rnacentral:rRNA from 1 species
UACGAAGGGUGCAAACGUUGCUCGGAAUUAUUGGGCGUAAAGCGCACGUAGGCGGCUUUGCAAGUCCCAUGUGAAAGCCCACGGCUUAACCGUGGAAGUGCAUGGGAAACUGCAGAGCUUGAGUACUUAAGAGGAUCGCGGAAUUCCCGGUGUAGAGGUGAAAUUCGUAGAUAUCGGGAGGAACACCAGUGGCGAAGGCGGUUGCCUGGGGCUUUGCUGACGCUGAUGCGCGAAAGCGUGGGGAGCGAUCCGG